UUUCCUUCAUUUCCAACUCAUCAAUCAUACUUACCCCUUCAUCUUUCACUUCUUUUGAUGUCAAUCCACUAUCAUCCAUGUUAUUGCUUCACCUCCAUCAUAAUUACCCACCAUCUCCCAUAUUAUUCCCUUCCUUUCUAACACAUCAAUCAUGAUUACUCUCUUUAUCUUCUUUUCAUAUAUAUGCUAGUCUAGUUGAGGAAGAAUUCACAUCUUUCAUUUUCCUUCCACAUUCUACUUCUUUAUCUUCACAAAAAAAAUUCAGAGUUAGAAUUACGGGAGAGUUAGCUAUUUUAUCAAAGGAUACUUAGCCAAGUUUUGUGCAAGUCUUAAGGAAUCUGCUAUGAAGGUGAUGAUUUGUGGACACUCUAAUUAGUAACUUUCAGCUCAACAAUGUCUAGGAAAUUUCUUUGAACGACAGCUACAUUGUCUAAAGGAGAUUGGUUCUUAAGUGGGACCGCUUUGACCCCUUCAAUCUCUUGGAAACUUACCUGGUUAUUGAUUGAUAGCACUAACAGAUGGUGGAUAGACGAGCAAACAACUACUUGGGAAAUGGUCAAAACACUAGUCACAACAUCAACAUCAACGAGACACCAGAUAUCCGCAAUCACCAUCUUGAUAAUGACAAUCCUACACCUACCACGAAUCUGCCCAAAAAUGUCAAUGCCCAAAUAUUGGAGGAACUAGAGAGGUUACGAAAAACGCGCCAAAAUCAACGAACUUAUUUGUUCUUCAGAAUUUCGCAAGCAGAGACCUCCAGUCUUUGUCGGUGAGCUAAACCCAAAGAUAGCAGGGAGUUGGCUUAAACAAGUUGAGAAGAUGUUUGAUACAAUAAGGAUCGAAGAUGAUGCUAACCGAAUUGCUUUGGCAAGCUACCAGCUAGAAAACGAGACUAACCACUAGCGGACGCUGAUCAAGGAGUCUCGAAAUAUUAUGUCAAUGACUUGGGACCAGUUCAAGGAGUUAUUUUUGAGGAAAUUCUUUCCCCACAUGGUCAGGCAAGAGAAAAUCAGAGAAUUUCAAUUACUGGAACAAGGAAGCAUGUUAGUAUCACAAUAUGCCGCUAAAUUUAAAGAAUUGGCUCAAUACGCAACUCAUUAUGUAGUUGAUGAAGAGGAAAAAACAAGGAAAUUUGAGUGGGGGUUGGACCCUUUAAUAAGAUGAAAUGUGUUACCCUUA